rnacentral:precursor_RNA from 11 species
GCCGCAUCUCUUUGGUAGCCUGGCCCGUCGAGUUGGAAGUGGGGAUCUCGGCAUUUUUGUCUUUGGUUCUCAAAAAGGUUACCGGCGCUUUGCAAUUUGCCGUUCCUAGUGGAUCCAGGCGAAUUCCAAACGUCGCGCCAACCCUUACAAUCGUUAUUUGCCAGAUCUAUCUCUUCCAGCUCACGGUCGCUACUCUCGUCGCCACCCGCUUUU